GAAAGAAACUUAUGCUCAGGAGGCAUUCACGCCGACAAGCACAGAAAUUAGCUGUCAGAACGCAGGCCAGCUCUGGUUCACCUCCCAGAGCUAUUUCAGAUCCACUGCUAUCUAACUACACCUGGAGCUACAACCACAAAUGCCUAUUUCUUCCUGGCAGGAGCGGAUGGAGGGACCUGUGUAAUUAGACCCAGCUUCCCAGGGUAUAAUUAGCUCAAGGCAAGCACACCUGUCUCUCCCCUUGGGCAGCAAGCAACGCGAGGGCAGGGAUGGGGCCCUGCAGAUGUGUGUUGCUACCACUCCAUACGGCUCCAGCUCUGAGGGGAGGCACUGCAGUCUGGGGUCUGAGAGCAAGGCCUGGACAUCAGAUUAGGAAGCUGAGGAACAGAGAGGUUAAGUGGCCUGCCAAGGUCACACAGCCAAGAAGUGGAGGAGACAGGAUUCGAACCCAGGCAGAUCCUCCCGCUGCUGCGGCGGAGAGGCACUAUUACCGCACAGUGACCGGCCCAUCUUACAGAUGAGGAAACCCAGGUGAAGA